AGCACAUAUCGGUUGUUUGUAAUUAACACUGGAAUUUGGAAAUAAUUCUAGACCUCAGCUGCCUCUCACGUUACUGCGAGUGACGUGAGCCUGCUUCAGCCUGCCUGGGACGGCGACGGGGUGGCGCCUCGAAAAGAUGAUUCUUGAUUAAAAUGCACCCUGAAUCAGAAGGCUACCUCCGGCCUGUUAGAUGCCGUCCGGGCGGCCACACGGAGCCCUCUCCCAAGAGAAGGGGCGCAAGCCGA